UGAAGGUUAAUUCUUGAAGAUUCGAAGGUUGAUUCUCCAGAUUUGCAGUUUCUCUCACUCUCGCUCUCGCUCGAAUUCUCUCUGUCGUAGUCUCGCUCUCGCUCUUGCUCGAAUUCUCUCUCUCACUCUCUGUACUCAUCUCUUCAUCAGAUUCGAAGGUUAAUUCUUGAAGAUUCGAAGGUUGAUUCUCCAGAUUUGCAGUUGUCUCUUUCGAUUUUAUCUCAUCGUUCAUCAAUUGGUCGAUUAAUCUACAUGAAACCUGUUUGAGAUUUGGCUUCUCAAAUCUGAUGAUGCAGAUGCUACAGCGGACACCUCAAACCAGGAAAUGCACAGUACUGCACCUUUUCUCAGAAUUAGCAUUGGAGAAGGAAGAGUUGAUGCAAGCAUUGCUUGCUGAAUCAUCUGAAAGUUCCACGCUGAAGUGAAAUGAAAUCUUAGAUGUCAAUAUUGGUGCUAAUCGGCAUACACUUGCAAAUUCUGAACACCUUGGAGACAAGCCGACAACUCAGGUGGAAGUUUGGGUUGAUGUGACCAGUUGUGAGAAACAGCUUUUGGAACUGCUUGAUGUAGUGAAUUGCUAUUUAGAGUAUUGUGUAUUGUUGUUAGAUUUGCUACUAGUUGUUAAUUUGUAUUGAUGCUU